GGGUUUCGGUUAGCGUGCUAGCUAGCCGCAUACGGGGCUUCAGGCGCCAACUUCUUCCUGAAACACCUUCAUUAUGGAAAGAGAGGCUUCAACCCCCAGGGACUGUUGUACUUAGUUAACUGCCGUAACUAAGUACAGUUUCUCAAGUACUAAGGAUGCUUGUACUAUGAAAAGAAGAAAUCAGAGAGCUCUGAGGCGUCAAUAAGAGACAUACUGACAUACUUUGUCACAAUGGCCCUUCUGGUGGAUGAAAUAGGAUCAGCGUAUAUUAAGUGACUGUGUUUUGGUUUCAGCAGGGUUAGAUGGAUACAUGAAUGGAUUGAUGAACAGAUUUGUUUGCUGAUUGAGUGACCCAUUCAUUUAUUGUCAUGUUUUUUCAUGCCACAGGCUCAGCUGUUCUUGACUUGACUGUCCUUUCUUCCCUCCCCAAGAGAUUUAACAACCAUUCACACUUGGCCUCAUGUGACUCCAAAA